rnacentral:rRNA from 1 species
GAUGAACGCUGGCGGCGUGCCUAAUACAUGCAAGUCGAGCGAACAGAUGAGGAGCUUGCUCCUCUGACGUUAGCGGCGGACGGGUGAGUAACACGUGGAUAACCUACCUAUAAGACUGGGAUAACUUCGGGAAACCGGAGCUAAUACCGGAUGAUAUAUUGAACCGCAUGGUUCAAUAGUGAAAGACGGUUUUGCUGUCACUUAUAGAUGGAUCCGCGCUGCAUUAGCUAGUUGGUAAGGUAACGGCUUACCAAGGCAACGAUGCGUAGCCGACCUGAGAGGGUGAUCGGCCACACUGGAACGGAGACACGGUCCAGACUCCUACGGGAGGCAGCAGUAGGGAAUCUUCCGCAAUGGGCGAAAGCCUGACGGAGCAACGCCGCGUGAGUGAUGAAGGUCUUCGGAUCGUAAAACUCUGUUAUUAGGGAAGAACAAAUGUGUAAGUAACUAUGCACGUCUUGACGGUACCUAAUCAGAAAGCCACGGCUAACUACGUG